UCUCCCACUGCUUUGCAUUUUUGUGUGUGUGGGGAGUAGUGUGUCCUUGUAACACAGUAGCGCCUCUCCCCGGCUAGGGUUUAGUGAAGCGCGCUGCCAAGAGGAAGAAGCGGAGGAGUAAGCAAGGGCGCGGCGCUAGCUCGCCACUCCAUCUCGCGAAUCUAUCUAUCCGCGCGACGAAUGGUGUGCCGAAAUCCGGUAGGGUGGGAGCAGCAGCAGUGAUUCUCGCAUCGGCGCCCUGGCUGGGAGAUUUCGGGCGGCGGAUGGGAAUUCCGUGGCGCUGAAUCCAUUGGAUCGGCCACGGAUCAGGUGGAUCGGCAGGACAAGACUUGUUCUAGAGCCGCGGCAGUGGCGGCAAUUUCUUGCUCUUGGUCCGAUCUGCCAGAGCUGACGGGGUUUCCAAUGCGUUGCUGAGAGUGGUACGGAAGGCCGUAGUUCGGAGAAAAUGGGAUGUAUAUUUUGCUUUGGAGGAGGCAAGCAGCAAGAGAGCCGGGUUGGAAGCAAGCCUGGAGCUCGGACGGCUCAACAGGCACCUGGGAUCGUGGAGAAGGAGAAGUCUCUGGCAAAAAUUCCCUCCGAUAAGGUGAAGCCGGCAGCUUCUUUGGAUCGCAAGAAGGAAAAUGCACCUGGAGAUUCCACUCCAGCCAUUGCUGCUCAGACUUUCACGUUUCGAGAGCUUGCAGCAGCCACGAAGAACUUCAAGGCCGAGUGUCUCUUAGGUGAGGGUGGUUUUGGGCGAGUGUACAAAGGACGACUGGAGAAUUCGGGACAGGUAGUCGCUGUGAAGCAGCUGGAUAGAAACGGAUUGCAAGGCAAUCGAGAGUUUUUGGUCGAGGUUUUAAUGCUGAGUUUGCUUCACCAUCCAAACUUGGUCAACCUCAUUGGAUACUGUGCAGACGGUGAUCAGAGAUUGCUAGUUUACGAGUUUAUGCCGCUCGGGUGUUUGGAGGAUCACUUGCAUGGUACGAUACUUUCUCUUCGUCUUGACGGGCUUACCUUCCUCUUGCUUUUGCUAGAUAUUCCCCCGGAGAAAGCCCCGCUCGACUGGAACACGCGCAUGAAGAUCGCGGCUGGUGCUGCGAUGGGUCUAGAAUAUCUGCACGACAAGGCCAAUCCGCCGGUGAUUUACAGGGACUUCAAGUCAUCCAACAUUCUUCUUGACAACAAUUUCCACCCAAAGCUCUCCGACUUCGGGCUUGCAAAGCUCGGCCCUGUCGGUGACAAGACGCACGUCUCAACGAGAGUUAUGGGGACUUACGGCUAUUGUGCACCAGAGUAUGCGAUGACGGGACAGUUGACAUUAAAGUCGGACGUAUACAGUUUUGGAGUCGUGCUACUAGAGCUUAUAACAGGUAGAAAGGCGAUCGACAACUCAAGACCAGCUGGAGAGCACAAUCUUGUGGCCUGGGCAAGGCCCCUGUUCAAAGACCGGAGAAAGUUCCCGUCUAUGUCGGAUCCGCUGUUGCAAGGCAGAUAUCCAAUGCGCGGCCUGUAUCAGGCUCUGGCAGUCGCUGCGAUGUGCCUCCAGGAGCAAGCGGCCACGAGACCACUGAUCGCCGACGUAGUCACCGCUCUAAACUAUCUCGCCAGCCAGACAUACGACCCCGGCGUUCAUCCUCUCUCUAACAGCAGGCUGACGCCACCCUCGUCUAGAGAGAAGCGGGAGAAGGACAAAGAGAAAGAGAGGAAGCUGUCACUCGCAACUCCUGCUGCUGCUGCUGCUGCUGCUGGUGAUGAUCGCGGCAAGAACAAUGGCGUGCAUUCUCCGAGCGUCACAGCCAAAUCGUCCGCAAAGUCAUCUCCAAACGUCCGUGUGAAAGACGAGGACAGUCCCAGGAACUUACUGGAGGAAGCCAAGCUGCACGAUAGCAGCAAGCAGCGAGAGGCGGACGACUGGGAGAUGUACGACAGGAACUCGAUGAGCCCCAGCCGCACCAACAAGAUCUUCAAGGAAGGAUUCAAGAUCUUGGAUCACGACCGGGAGAGAGCGGUGGCGGAAGCAAGGAUCUGGGGGGAGAGCUACAGGGAAAGGAAGCGAGGCAACACACAGGGUGGUGGUGGCGGCGGCGGCGGCAGUGGUGGUGGCAGUGGUGGUGGUGGUGGUGGUGGCACCGAUUGCUAGAGCGAGAAGAGCAGAACGAGCGAAUUUUGUCCUCUGAGCUGAUGCCUCACGAGCAGGCCAGCUUCCAGAGCUCUUCUAAGUUCUCCGAGCGGCUAUAGCUUCCAGAGCUCUUCCAAGUCCUCCGAGCGGCUAUAGCUUCCAG